GUGGGGAAUAUUGGACAAUGGGCGAAAGCCUGAUCCAGCCAUGCCGCGUGUGUGAAGAAGGUCUUCGGAUUGUAAAGCACUUUAAGUUGGGAGGAAGGGCAGUAAGUUAAUACCUUGCUGUUUUGACGUUACCGACAGAAUAAGCACCGGCUAACUUCGUGCCAGCAGCCGCGGUAAUACGAAGGGUGCAAGCGUUAAUCGGAAUUACUGGGCGUAAAGCGCGCGUAGGUGGUUCAGCAAGUUGGAGGUGAAAUCCCCGGGCUCAACCUGGGAACUGCCGCCAAAACUACUGAGCUAGAGUACGGUAGAGGGUAGUGGAAUUUCCUGUGUAGCGGUGAAAUGCGUAGAUAUAGGAAGGAACACCAGUGGCGAAGGCGACUACCUGGACUGAUACUGACACUGAGGUGCGAAAGCGUGGGGAGCAAACAGGAUUAGAAACCCGUGUAGUCC
rnacentral:rRNA from 1 species